UACGUAGGCAGCAAGCGUUGUUCGGAAUUACUGGGCGUAAAGAGUGUGUAGGCGGUGUUCUAAGUUUGUCGUGAAAUCUCCCGGCUUAACUGGGAGGGUGCGGCGAAAACUGGAAUGCUAGAGGAUGGGAGAGGUAAGCGGAAUUCCUGGUGUAGCGGUGAAAUGCGUAGAUAUCAGGAAGAACACCCGCGGCGAAGGCGGCUCUCUGGAACGCAACUGACGCUGAGACGCGAAAGCGUGGGGAGCAAACAGG
rnacentral:rRNA from 1 species